GUCAACGACUUCUAGUUGAGUACAAUCCCCAGGCACUGAAAGGCAGGGCUGCUGUAGUUAACUCUAGUUGACCAGUUUUAGUCCAUUAACGGACUACGUUCAGGGCAAGUGUUUAAGUUCCUACUCCGGAAUGCUUGCCAGUUCCGCGAACGCCAGU
rnacentral:sRNA from 24 species